GUGGGGAAUAUUGGACAAUGGGCGAAAGUCUGAACCAGCCAUGCCGCGUGAAGGAUGAAGGCCCUCUGGGUUGUAAACUUCUUUUAUCUGGGACGAAAAAAGGGUAUUCUUACUCACUUGACGGUACCAGAGGAAUAAGCACCGGCUAACUCCGUGCCAGCAGCCGCGGUAAUACGGAGGGUGCAAGCGUUAUCCGGAUUCACUGGGUUUAAAGGGUGCGUAGGUGGGUAUUUAAGUCAGUGGUGAAAUCUCCAAGCUUAACUCGGAAACUGCCAUUGAUACUAUUUACCUUGAAUGCCCUGGAGGUAAGCGGAAUAUGUCAUGUAGCGGUGAAAUGCUUAGAUAUGACAUAGAACACCAAUUGCGAAGGCAGCUUACUACGGGGUGAUUGACACUGAGGCACGAAAGCGUGGGGAGCAAACAGGAUUAGAAACCCGUGUAGUCC
rnacentral:rRNA from 1 species